CCUACGGGUGGCAGCAGUGAGGAAUAUUGGUCAAUGGGCGCGAGCCUGAACCAGCCAAGUAGCGUGAAGGAUGACUGCCCUACGGGUUGUAAACUUCUUUUAUAAAGGAAUAAAGUGAGGUACGUGUGCCUUUUUGUAUGUACUUUAUGAAUAAGGAUCGGCUAACUCCGUGCCAGCAGCCGCGGUAAUACGGAGGCUCCGGGCGUUAUCCGGAUUUAUUGGGUUUAAAGGGAGCGUAGAUGGGUUGUUAAGUCAGUUGUGAAAGUUUGCGGCUCAACCGUAGCAUUGCAAUUGAUACUGGCAGGCUUGAGUACGAGGGAGGUAGGCGGAAUUCGUGGUGUAGCGGUGAAAUGCUUAGAUAUCACGAAGAACUCCGAUUGCGAAGGCAGCUUACUAAACUGCCACUGACGUUGAGGCUCGAAAGCGUGGGUAUCAAACAGGAUUAGAUACCCCAGUAGUC
rnacentral:rRNA from 1 species